rnacentral:tRNA from 2 species
GGAGGGGUGCCGGAGUGGUCGAACGGGGCGGUCUCGAAAACCGUUGCGCCCUUUGGGGCGCCGGGGGUUCGAAUCCCUCCCCCUCCG